rnacentral:rRNA from 1 species
GAUGAACGCUGGCGGCGUGCCUAAUACAUGCAAGUCGAGCGAACAGAUGAGGAGCUUGCUCCUCUGACGUUAGCGGCGGACGGGUGAGUAACACGUGGAUAACCUACCUAUAAGACUGGGAUAACUUCGGGAAACCGGAGCUAAUACCGGAUAAUAUAUUGAACCGCAUGGUUCAAAAGUGAAAGACGGUUUUGCUGUCACUUAUAGAUGGAUCCGCGCCGCAUUAGCUAGUUGGUAAGGUAACGGCUUACCAAGGCAACGAUGCGUAGCCGACCUGAGAGGGUGAUCGGCCACACUGGAACUGAGACACGGUCCAGACUCCUACGGGAGGCAGCAGUAGGGAAUCUUCCGCAAUGGGCGAAAGCUUGACGGAGCAACGCCGCGUGAGUGAUGAAGGUCUUCGGAUCGUAAAACUCUGUUAUUAGGGAAGAACAAAUGUGUAAGUAACUAUGCACAUCUUGACGGUACCUAAUCAGAAAGCCACGGCUAACUACGUG